GAUGAACGCUGGCGGCGUGCUUAACACAUGCAAGUCGAACGGAAAGGCCCAAGCUUGCUUGGGUACUCGAGUGGCGAACGGGUGAGUAACACGUGGGUGAUCUGCCCUGCACUUCGGGAUAAGCCUGGGAAACUGGGUCUAAUACCGGAUAGGACGAUGGUUUGGAUGCCAUUGUGGAAAGUUUUUUCGGUGUGGGAUGAGCUCGCGGCCUAUCAGCUUGUUGGUGGGGUAAUGGCCUACCAAGGCGUCGACGGGUAGCCGGCCUGAGAGGGUGUACGGCCACAUUGGGACUGAGAUACGGCCCAGACUCCUAAGGGAGGCAGCAGUGGGGAAUAUUGCACAAUGGGCGCAAGCCUGAGGCAGCGAGGCCGCGUGGGGGAUGACGGCCUUCGGGUUGUAAACUCCUUUCGCUAGGGACGAAGCGUUUUUGUGACGGUACCUGGAGAAGAAGCACCGGCUAACUACGUG
rnacentral:rRNA from 1 species